GUGUGUUACUAUAGACUAGUAGUUGAAUGAGUUACAGUUCCUGAUCAGUUGGUAGAUUAUUUGUUGGUAACUUGUUGAGUGGUGACACUGUGUCUGACUGUCUGUGAAUAAGGAACCUAUAAUCUUUAUAUAGUAGUCUCUUGUGAUGUCAGUAAUGUAUUGCACAAUAGGUGUUAACCCAUGACAUGAAGUUAUAAUCAUUGGCUUGUUAUAAGUGUUACUGUCAGUGUCAGUGGUUUGCUACAUGUAGAACAAGUUAUGCUGUUAAUUGUUAAUCAUGUCUUGCAUAAUUAUAAGUGUUAGCCAAUGGUCAUUGUCAUUGUCAGUGGCAUGUACAAGUGCAAGUUUGUCUAGCAAAUGAAGCUCAUUUCAUCAAUCAUUCCUCCACCAAAUUUAUAGUGUGUUAGCAUAGAAAAUGCCUUUUUGCAUGUAUAGCAACCAUUUUUCUAUAAACUAUAAAACUACAUUUACUGUAUAUGCAUUUGAGUAUAGGUGUGUGUAUAAGCAUACUUGUAUGCAUACAUUAUAUGAUUACCGUAAAUGUUCAAAUAAAAGCCCGGGCGUUUAUUUCUUUCCAGGACAAAAAAAUUGCGUAAAAUAAAAAAAAGAAAAAGCAAAACUGGGAUUCGAACCCGGAACUCCAGGUUCCAUGCACUCAGUUUAACAAGUUAGGCCAUUUGGGACACUCUUAAGGAUGUGGUACUUAUAUUGACUCAAAUAUGCGUAUCUAUACUUGGAGAAUCUUAGUACCAGGCGUUUAUUCAAGCCCGGCCUUUAUUUGAACAUUUACGGUAUGUGGAUCUACAUUACAGUACAUUACUAGUAAAAAGUGACUCUGCCUAAUAUUUGGCCAUUUUUGGCCAUUUCAACCAAUAAACUGCAUUUUGUGUUUUUCAAUAAUGAAUGAACACUACCCAACUCUUUACCAUGAAUUUGUUUGCAGAUUAAAGUAACCACAAAGUUGCAUUGUGUUUUAUUGUGACUAUUUAAGAGUUUUGUCUCUGUCUCUUUCAUUUAUUCAUUCAUUGAACUGUUUUUAUUUCUACACAGAAAUAUGUGCUGUGUCACGUCAUCAUGUUCAAAGAAUGAAAUUGAAAGAUGCCUUAAACUUUUUGGUCAGGCAGCAAACCCAGCAAUGAAUACUGUAUCAACUACUAAAGCAUGAUUAGUGAGUAUAUUGAGGAAGUAUAGGUUUGAAAGCGGAUCAUCUGAUACUGAGAUACAAUUAAAAAAGAAACAAGGUUUUACUCGGUCUCCAAAAGAUUGUUUUUCUAAGAAUGACUCCCUAAUAAAAUCAGUUGGAAUUAAAUUUUAUUUUUAUUUUCGGGUAGUUUACAAGCAUAAUAUUAUUUUGAUUUUUUUUGCAAAAUAAUAAUAAGUUUCUGUAAUUUUUAUUAGAUGAAUUUCAAGGGCUUGGUGUAGGUGUGGUUAGCCCUGCCUUAAAACCACGUGGAGUCA